rnacentral:lncRNA from 1 species
UCAUUUUAGAUGACUAUGCAGAUAUGACUUUUCCAACGUGCACUCUGUGUCUUGUCUUAUGCUUGGACUCUUGAGAGCAGGACACAUUAAGCAAUACUGUAUCUUAGAAAAGAGGGCGCCACACGCUGUGUUGUCCUGCUCAUGGCUCUGCUGCGCUCAAUUUCCCACAAACUUGUAAUAUGCUACAAAUCCUGUUUUAGUUCCUCCUGUCCUUCCUUUGGCCCUUUCCCGGGAUGGAAUUCCCCAGGAGUCUUUGCACUUUUGUUCCCUGCCCUGAAAGAUCUCCAAGUCAGACUGGAGGCACUGGUGUCCAAUCUUAAGAGGGACAGAUUAGUUGCCUGUAAGUGACUUUAAUCCCAGCCCUGGGGAGCGCUUAUUUGUACAUUAAUACUCUGGCCUAAAAACUAAAUAUUUUAAAGCCUUUCACCUUCUGGAAGAGGGAAAGAGCGUGGACAAUUAUUGUAUUAGGUUGAAUUCUGUGAAAUGGCUGGUAUUUGACUGUUUUUGAUCUAUUAUAUAAAACAAGCAAUUUCACAGAGUUCAACCUAAAAUCUACAAAGGUAAUCUACAGCACUUGGAAUUUUCUCCUAUCUUUAUGUAUCAAAAGUGAAAGAAUUCAGGCGUGGAAGAGGUCUCCCAAGUCUAUCGUAGGUCUACAUUUCAAUCCACCAGUUGCCGUCCGCCAUAUUCUUGCCCCACCCCACCCCCAACCCAGCUCUGCAGGACGAAGUUGUUAGCUAGUGUACUGUUACUGGUGUGACUGGAUUCAGUAAGAGAAGGACCUUUGACAAGCUAUAAGUUACAUACAGCUUUCUGAAUGGAAUGUUCGUGAAACAGUGGAAAGAAUGUGCUGUUUGAAGACUCCUUACCAGGAACUACUCCCAACACUCCUGGCCCGCCAUCUUGAAUAAAACUCACUCCUCUCUCCUGAUCGCAGGUCAUUUCAAAUGACAUAAACUCCAAGGUUAUCUCAUUUUAUCAUUUAUGAGCCGUUAUUUCUAAAUCGGCACCAUCUCAGCUCCUGUCUCUGUUAUCUCCCACACCCUGACUGGAUUGAAAGCUUAACUCCAGCCUCGUUCCUAGCAACCCACGCAAACGUACUAAACUGAUAAAGCCUGAGGCGCACAGCGCACGCUCUUGUGGAUGCCUGACCUCAGCCUCUCCUGCUUCGUUCAUUUGUGCCAGCUCUCUCCUUAGUCUCAGCGUGGCGACAACACCUUCUGUGCAAAUGUCCUUUGUACAACUGAAGACUGUUAAAAAAAAAAAAUUCAGGUCUCACCUCCGUUUCUGAGAAGGCCGUAGCUAUUCAUGGAGAUGGGAAUUUG